rnacentral:lncRNA from 1 species
AGCCUCCCAAAGCUGGGAUACAGGUUUUUGAUGAAACAUGAUAGUGGCAACAUUUGAAAAGAAGUUUAAUUAUAAAAAUGAUGUCUGGGAGAUAAAGAACUACCAAAAAAGCCGUGAAACCAGCUAUGGAGAUCAAAAUGAACUAUUAAAAAUAUACUUUAUUCUCUGAAAAGAAUCCACUAAAUAGCUAUGAUAUUUAUUUUAGGCAAAGUAAUUAAUAGUGCUCAAAUGUGAGGUGCAGUUUAUAUCCCUGGGAAACCAGUAUAUGACCUAAAGAUUAUUAUAAUUUCCUGAAUUUUAAUAUUAGUGCUACCUAUCCAAAAUGCAAUAAUCAUGGUGAAAAUAAAAUGUUU